rnacentral:rRNA from 1 species
GACGAACGCUGGCGGCGUGCUUAACACAUGCAAGUCGAACGGAAAGGCCCUGCUUUUGUGGGGUGCUCGAGUGGCGAACGGGUGAGUAACACGUGAGUAACCUGCCCUUGACUUUGGGAUAACUUCAGGAAACUGGGGCUAAUACCGGAUAGGAGCUCCGGCUGCAUGGUGGGGGUUGGAAAGUUUCGGCGGUUGGGGAUGGACUCGCGGCUUAUCAGCUUGUUGGUGGGGUAGUGGCUUACCAAGGCUUUGACGGGUAGCCGGCCUGAGAGGGUGACCGGCCACAUUGGGACUGAGAUACGGCCCAGACUCCUACGGGAGGCAGCAGUGGGGAAUAUUGCACAAUGGGCGGAAGCCUGAUGCAGCAACGCCGCGUGCGGGAUGACGGCCUUCGGGUUGUAAGCCGCUUUCGCCUGUGACGAAGCGUGAGUGACGGUAAUGGGUAAAGAAGCACCGGCUAACUACGUG